AGCACUAUAUUUAAACCUAUGGAUGGGAAUUUCCCCCAUUCUUGGUUACGCUGUAGUGCAAAAGAAUUCCUGGCUCUACUUAUUGCACAGCUGACUUGUGCCAUUCUGCUGUUGCUGUACAGAGUUAAGGGACAUGA